GGCAGAGUGGUAGAAUGGCUAUACAGCGGAUUGCAAAUCCGUGGAUCUCGGUUCGAUUCCGGGCUCUGCCUCCA
rnacentral:tRNA from 1 species